rnacentral:rRNA from 1 species
UCCAGACUCCUACGGGAGGCAGCAGUGGGGAAUAUUGCACAAUGGGGGAAACCCUGAUGCAGCGACGCCGCGUGAGUGAAGAAGUAUUUCGGUAUGUAAAGCUCUAUCAGCAGGGAAGAAAAUGACGGUACCUGACUAAGAAGCCCCGGCUAACUACGUGCCAGCAGCCGCGGUAAUACGUAGGGGGCAAGCGUUAUCCGGAUUUACUGGGUGUAAAGGGAGCGUAGACGGCAUGGCAAGUCAGAUGUGGAAGCCCGGGGCUCAACCCCGGGACUGCAUUUGAAACUGUCAGGCUGGAGUGCAGGAGAGGUAAGUGGAAUCCCUAGUGUAGCGGUGAAAUGCGUAGAUAUUAGGAGGAACACCAGUGGCGAAGGCGGCCUGCUGGACGACAACUGACGGUGAGGCGCGAAAGCGUGGGGAGCAAACAGGAUUAGAUACCCGCGUAA